rnacentral:rRNA from 1 species
AUGAACGCUGGCGGCGUGCCUAACACAUGCAAGUCGAACGAGUCUCUAAGACGGAAGCCUCGGUGGAAGUCGAAGAUGCACUAGUGGCAGACGGGUGAGUAAUAUAUAGGUAAUCUACCUUUAAGCUCGGGAUAACUAUUCGAAAGGAUAGCUAAUACCGGAUACACUUUUAAAAUCAUAAGAUUUUUAAAGGAAAGUUUUUCGCUUUUAGAUGAGCCUGCGUGGGAUUAGCUAGUUGGUGAGGUAACGGCUUACCAAGGCAACGAUCUGUAGCCGGCCUGAGAGGGUGAUCGGCCACACUGGAACUGAGACACGGUCCAGACUCCUACGGGAGGCAGCAGUGGGGAAUUUUGCGCAAUGGGGGAAACCCUGACGCAGCAACGCCGCGUGGGUGAUGACGCACCUUGGUGUGUAAAGCCCUGUUGACGGGGAUAAUUAUGAUAGUACCUCUGAAGGAAGUCACGGCUAAUUACGUGCCAGCAGCCGCGGUAAUACGUAAGUGGCAAGCGUUAUCCGGAUUUAUUGGGCAUAAAGAGUACGAAGGUGGUUUCUUAAGUCAGAUGUUAAAGGCUACUGCUUAACAGUAGUUCGCAUUUGAAACUGAGAAACUAGAGGUCAGUAGAGGAAAGCGGAACUCAUAGUGUAGCGGUGAAAUGCGUAGAUAUCGUGAGGAACACCAGUUGCGAAGGCGGCUUUCUGGCCUGAUCCUGACACUGAGGUGCGAAAGCGUGGGGAGCGAACGGGAUUAGAUCCCCCGGUAGUCCACGCCGUAAACGUUGUUCACUAAGUGUUGGAGGUAUCGAUCCCUUCAGUGCUACAGAUAAUUCGUUAAGUGAACCGCCUGGGAAGUACGACCGCAAGGUUAAAACUCAAAGGAAUUGACGGGGGCCCGCACAAGCGGUGGAGCAUGUGGGUUAAUUCGAUGCAACGCGAAGAACCUUACCAUCCCUUGACAUCCUAGAAAUCUUUUAGAGAUAAGAGAGUGCCUUCGGGAAUCUAGUGACAGGUGGUGCACGGCUGUCGUCAGCUCGUGUCGUGAGAUGUUGGGUUAAGUCCCGCAACGAGCGCAACCCCUAUUUUGUGUUGCCAGCAUUUCGGAUGGGAACUCACAGGAGACUGCCUGUUAUAAGCAGGAGGAAGGUGGGGACGACGUCAAGUCAUCAUGCCCCUUACGUCCUGGGCUACACACAUGCUACAAUGGGCGGUACAAUGAGCAGCUAAGCCGCGAGGCCAAGCCAAUCUCAAAAAGCCGUCCUCAGUUCGGAUUGUAGUCUGCAACUCGACUACAUGAAGCCGGAAUUGCUAGUAAACGUAGAUCAGAACGCUACGUUGAAUACGUUCCCGGGCCUUGUACACACCGCCCGCCAAGGG